rnacentral:rRNA from 1 species
UACGUAGGUGGCAAGCGUUGUCCGGAUUCAUUGGGCGUAAAGAGCGCGCAGGCGGCUUGGUAAGUCGGAUGUGAAAACCCGGAGCUCAACUCCGGGCGUGCAUCCGAUACUGCCCGGCUAGAGGUAGGUAGGGGAGAUCGGAAUUCCUGGUGUAGCGGUGGAAUGCGCAGAUAUCAGGAGGAACACCGGUGGCGAAGGCGGAUCUCUGGGCCUUGCCUGACGCUCAGGCGCGAAAGCUAGGGGAGCGAACAGG